rnacentral:rRNA from 1 species
UACGUAGGGGGCGAGCGUUGUCCGGAUUCAUUGGGCGUAAAGAGCUCGUAGGCGGUUUGGCAAGUCGGGUGUGAAAUCUCUGGGCUCAACUCAGAGACGCCACCUGAUACUGCUGUGGCUAGAGUCCGGUAGGGGAGCAUGGAAUUCCUGGUGUAGCGGUGAAAUGCGCAGAUAUCAGGAGGAACACCGGUGGCGAAGGCGGGUCUCUGGGCCGAUACUGACGCUGAGGAGCGAAAGCGUGGGGAGCGAACAGG